GCCCAAAUGGCGAAAUUGGUAGACGCACUGCUUUCAGGUGGCAGCGCCGAAAGGUGUGCAGGUUCAAAUCCUGUUUUGGGCACCA
rnacentral:tRNA from 1 species